UACGUAGGGGGCGAGCGUUAAUCGGAAUUACUGGGCGUAAAGCGUGCGCAGGCGGUUCGUUAAGUCAGAUGUGAAAGCCCCGAGCUCAACUUGGGAACUGCAUUUGAAACUGGCGGGCUGGAGUGUGGCAGAGGGGGGUGGAAUUCCACGUGUAGCAGUGAAAUGCGUAGAGAUGUGGAGGAACACCGAUGGCGAAGGCAGCCCCCUGGGCCAACACUGACGCUCAGGCACGAAAGCGUGGGGAGCAAACAGG
rnacentral:rRNA from 1 species